rnacentral:rRNA from 1 species
GAGUUUGAUCCUGGCUCAGGACGAACGCUGGCGGCGUGCCUAAUACAUGCAAGUCGAGCGAACCACUUCGGUGGUUAGCGGCGGACGGGUGAGUAACACGUGGGCAACCUGCCUGUAAGACUGGGAUAACUUCGGGAAACCGGAGCUAAUACCGGAUAAUCCUUUUCCUCUCAUGAGGRAAAGCUGAAAGACGGUUUCGGCUGUCACUUACAGAUGGGCCCGCGGCGCAUUAGCUAGUUGGUGAGGUAACGGCUCACCAAGGCGACGAUGCGUAGCCGACCUGAGAGGGUGAUCGGCCACACUGGGACUGAGACACGGCCCAGACUCCUACGGGAGGCAGCAGUAGGGAAUCUUCCACAAUGGACGAAAGUCUGAUGGAGCAACGCCGCGUGAGCGAUGAAGGCCUUCGGGUCGUAAAGC